GACCACGAAAUUAAAAUAAACAACGAGAAACUAGACACAAGCGGAAAAAUUCUUCAUGCUCAAAUCAAAAAAAAAAAAUAAUCAUCUGCAACACGAAGACUUCCAACGAAGACCAGUUAUGAAGAAUCCUCGAAGAAUAGAAUAUAAGAAGCCGAAAUUCGACAACAACAUGAUAUCUAAUAAGAAGAAAGUUGUGAUAUGCCAUUACUGCAAGAAAAAGGGACAUUACAAAAAUAAAUGUCGCUACUAUCUACGUGUUAUAAAGACCAAACCAAACAAUACCGAGACAACAAUUAACACUGCUCAUACAACAAGUGUUAAUACAAUUCAAUCAUCGCCGACUACACCGAGUUUUGUUUUUAUGGCAGGAGUCAUAAUGCAAACAGAAUAUAAGCAAGAUAAAAUUAUAUUCUUAUUGGACUCUGGAGCAUCCGAUCAUAUCACGAAUCGAGAGGAUAUAGCAAGCUAUUUUCGCACACUGACAAUACCAAUCAAAAUAUCAGUAGCGAAAAAUCAUCUCCGCGUCGAAGAUUGGAUCAAUCACUGUUACGAGCAACUUGGGCAUCAAAGACGAGAUAGAAAACGUGCUGUACAGUCCUGAUGUCCCGUGCAACUUGCUGUCCGUUACCAAGAUGCAACAAGCCGGAUACUCCGUGACCAUUGGUGACGAUGGGGUAAUGGUGUACUGCCACGGUAAGCCCGUGAUGUCCGGUAAGACCGUAAACAACCUGUUUACUCUGGAAUUCAAGAUAACCAGAUCGUGGACAUGCUGACCGAGCCGCUGCCAGCAGCCAGGUUCCGCGACCUGCGGGACACGAAUGUGGAAGAAUAAUGUUUUAUAAUGUUUCAAUAAAUACUAAUAGUAAUUAAUUAUUUAAUGAU